UACGUAGGGGGCGAGCGUUGUCCGGAUUUAUUGGGGCGUAAAGCGCGCGUAGGCGGCGCGGUAUGUCGUGCGUGAAAUCUCCCGGCUUAACUGGGAGGGGCCGUGCGAAACUGCCGGGCUUGAGGUCAGAAGGGGAAAGUGGAAUUCCGGGUGUAGUGGUGGAAUACGUAGAGAUCCGGAGGAACACCAGUGGCGAAGGCGACACACUGGGUCGCACCUGACGCUAAGACGCGACAGCAUGGGGAGCGAACGGG
rnacentral:rRNA from 1 species